AUUGGUGUGUUUCAAGGUAGCAGAUGGUUUACGAUUAUGGUUAGUACCCUCUGGGAUACUUUGUGGGUUCCGAAAGUGUUUUCGGUGAGUUUUCGAAAAUUUCAGCAGGUUUUUGGAAUCGGUAAAGAAAAUCGAUUGCUCAAAGGUAUUCAGGAUAUGAGUUAAGUGUAGGGUUAGAUUAGAGUUAUGGAGUGGUUUGUGACUCUGUGUAGUCUUUCAUAGGUCCGGGUGAUGUUUAGAAGUACCUUCAGAGUUGCAGGUUGUUCGUCAACUUUGAGGUGAGCAGUUCGAUCCGAAGUCGUUAAAGUGGUGUCUGCUCGACAACUUCCAUCCUAUCAUCUCCUCUUGAUUACAUGAUAUUUGAUUGAGUUAUCAUACACCACUUGACUGUAUAGCUACUUGCUCUACGAUUGUUGUUAUACCUCAUAUUAUCAUGGCUGAGUUGUAGAGUGGUGUUUCGUUGUAGUUGAGUUAUCUAUUGCAUGAUUGUAGUAUAUGACCCUGUGAUAUGGUUGAUCUGAUUGGUCGGUAAUAUUCUUUGUAAUAUGGCUAACCUGUUGGUUGGUGACAUUCUUUAAGAUAUGGUUGAUUUGAUUGGUCAAUGACUCCUUUUGAAUAUUCUCUUGGCUGUUUGCCAAUAGUUGGCUAUUGCGUAUAUAGCAUCGAUCGCUAAAGCUUAUGGAGCAUUUCACAUGCACCAGCGAUUUGGCCACUGCAGUGAUGUUAUUUUUCAAAAAAGUGGUCGUAGUUACGACCAAUAGGGGUAUAUGGGUCCCUUUGGCCUAAAUUCUUGAAAAGUGAUUUCUACAGAAUUGAUUUUGGUAUGGAGAACUGAUUUUGGUUAAAAGCUGCAGAGCGUUUGAUUGAGUUUAGAUAAAAAUAUUUUUUUUGAAGUGAUUAUCUAAAAUUGUUUGGUAAAAAAAUUUUGAUGUUUGCAUAAAUUAAUUUNCUUCACCUCCGCCCGAAGCCCUUCCCUUCCGGCCUUAGCCCGUUACCGCCGCCCGGACCCCUUCACCUCCGGCUUCACCUCUGCCCGAAGCCCUUCACCUCCGCCCUUACCCCUUCACCGCCGGCUGAACUCUUCACCUCCGGCUUCACUUCUGGCCGAAGCCCUUCACUGUCGGCCGAACCCCGCCACCUCCGGCUUCACCUCCGCCCGAAGCCCUGCCCUUCCGGCCGAAGCCCGUUACCGCCGCCCGAACCCCUUCACCUCCGCCAGUACCCCUUCACCACCGGCCGAACCCCUUCACCUCCGGCUUCACUUCUGCCCGAAGCCCUUCACUGCCGGCCGAACCCCGCCACCUCCGGCUUCACCUCCGCUCGAAGCCCUACCCUUCCGGCCGAAGCCCUUCUUCCUCCUCGCGUCCGACAUACCCACAUGUCCGGAUCUACCUUCUCACGGUUUAUCUGCCCGGUCUACACGGACGAUUUGUUGGUUUCUUUGUGGAUUUGUGGAAUUCUUGUUGGUCUCGGUUAAGGCCCGUUCCUCGACAUCUUCGUCGUAGGGAAGGCGUUGUGCUGCUACCCUUCGGUCUUCGGUUCUGAUCUUGCCAACAGUGUACGGAUUCCCCGUCGUUGCGUGCUAUCGAUCUGACUGUCGCGCCUUGACUAUCUCUGUGCUUGGUUCUGGCCAUUUCUGAAUUUGGUAUCUUUGCGAUAGACAGGUUUGAUCUCCAUGUUUACUGUUGCCAUAUAUAGCGUUUCUAUAUAUCCAAUGCCGUUGAAAGAAUAUCAUCUAUUUGCACAAUGAUUGGUAUAACGUACAUGAUGUUGAUCUGAGUAUACUUGAGAAUAUUAAGUAUUGGUUGGAAGCUUGUGGUUCGGCGAUGAUGACGGAUUCUAAUUAAGAUUAGAAGGAUGGCAUCGAUGGAAACAUCAAUGCAACCCCAUGUUAGUUGGAAUCCACUUGAGCCAAUUGUGGGAACGAACCAUCAAGACUCCUAUUUAGGGGACCAUACAUUUUUACAAUUCUUCACAAAUAUUGCAUGAAAUAUCUACUCUAUCCAUAUUUUUAUCAUAUCAUUCUACCCUUUAUUAUAUAUAGUCUACUUGGUAGUAGAGAAAAACAAUUGCAUCAGUAUAUUGUGUAUGCAAUGCUUAUAUAUCAUGUAAUUACUAACCCCGCCAAUUUAAAUAGCAUGUAAUAUCGUAUAUACGUUCUAUGCAUCCAUCAUGCACAGUUUUUAAUUAUAAACUACAGAUGCGUCCAUUCAAGAAAGUUUCUAAGUCCAAACAGAAGCAACAUGGGCUCGCAGAUGAGUCACCUAUUGAGGCUAGCGGUGGCAUUCGUAUUGAUACAAGAACUAGAAGUCAAAAUUGGAGCAACAUUUUGGAUGCACAAUUGUUGGGGCUUAUGAGAGAUGAACAUACAUUUGGUAAUUGUGUAAAUGGGUCAUUCACUCCGAUUGCGUGGAAGCGGAUGGUAAAUGAUUUCAACAGUCGAAACAAUAUGAACCUAACAAAGACACAAUUGAAGAAUCGAUUUAAAGUGUUAAAA
rnacentral:lncRNA from 1 species